GAUGAACGCUGGCGGCGUGCCUAAUACAUGCAAGUCGAGCGAACAGACGAGGAGCUUUCUCCUCUGACGUUAUCGGCGGACGGGUGAGUAACACGUGGAUAACCUACCUAUAAGACUGGGAUAACUUCGGGAAACCGGAGCUAAUACCGGAUAAUAUAUUGAACCGCAUGGUUCACUAGUUAAAGUCGGUUUUGCUGUCACUUAUAGAUGGCUACGCGCCGCAUUAGCUAGUUGGUAAGGUAACGGCUUACCAACGCGACGAUGCGUAGCCGACCUGAGAGGGUGGUCGGCCACCCUGGAAGUGAGACAGGGCCCAGACUCCUAGGGGAGGCAGCAGUCGGGAAUCCUCCGCGAUGGAGGAGAGCCUGACGGAGCAACGCCGCGUGAGUGAUGAAGGUCUUCGGAUCGUAAAACUAUGUUAGUAGGGAAGAACAAAUGUGUAAGUAACUAUGCACGUCUUGACGGUACCUAGUCAGAAAGCCCCGGCUAACUACGUG
rnacentral:rRNA from 1 species